rnacentral:tRNA from 1 species
GUUAUAGACGGGUUCCAUAACUCAGUUGGUUAGAGUGUGAUGCUAAUAACGUCAAAGUCGAGGGUUCGACCCCCUCUGGAACCACG